UGCGGAGUGGUGUAACGGUAGCACAGGGGACUUUGGAUCCCUUGGUCCAGGUUCGAAUCCUGGCUCCGCAACCA
rnacentral:tRNA from 1 species